UCGGGAAUUUUGGGCAAUGGGCGAAAGCCUGACCCAGCAACGCCGCGUGCAGGAUGAAGGCCUUCGGGUCGUAAACUGCUUUUAUGAGUGAUGAUUAAGACAGUAGCUCAAGAAUAAGGGUCGGCUAACUACGUGCCAGCAGCCGCGGUCAUACGUAGGACCCAAGCGUUAUCCGGAAUUACUGGGCGUAAAGGGCGCGUAGGCGGCAUGACAAGUCACUUGUGAAAUCUCUGGGCUUAACCCAGAACGGCCAAGUGAUACUGUCGCGCUAGAGUGCAGAAGGGGCAAUCGGAAUUCUUGGUGUAGCGGUGAAAUGCGUAGAUAUCAAGAGGAACACCUGAGGUGAAGACGGGUUGCUGGGCUGACACUGACGCUGAGGCGCGAAAGCCAGGGGAGCAAACGGGAUUAGAUACCCAGGUAGUCCCUGAGCGGGCUGGCAAGGCGCAU
rnacentral:rRNA from 1 species